rnacentral:rRNA from 1 species
GGUGAACGCUGGCGGCGUGCCUAAUACAUGCAAGUCGAGCGAACGGACGAGAAGCUUGCUUCUCUGAUGUUAGCGGCGGACGGGUGAGUAACACGUGGAUAACCUACCUAUAAGACUGGGAUAACUUCAGGAAACCGGAGCUAAUACCGGAUAAUAUUUUGAACCGCAUGGUUCAAAAGUGAAAGACGGUCUUGCUGUCACUUAUAGAUGGAUCCGCGCUGCAUUAGCUAGUUGGUAAGGUAACGGCUUACCAAGGCAACGAUGCAUAGCCGACCUGAGAGGGUGAUCGGCCACACUGGAACUGAGACACGGUCCAGACUCCUACGGGAGGCAGCAGUAGGGAAUCUUCCGCAAUGGGCGAAAGCCUGACGGAGCAACGCCGCGUGAGUGAUGAAGGUCUUCGGAUCGUAAAACUCUGUUAUUAGGGAAGAACAUAUGUGUAAGUAACUGUGCACAUCUUGACGGUACCUAAUCAGAAAGCCACGGCUAACUACGUG